UAAAGGGGGGAAAAUCAUCCAUUGGCUUCUCCUGCCUUGGGUGAGGCGAAAGGGAGUAUCAGACUCUUACUGACUAAAAACCACCACGUUCCUAUUCCUGUUUUUCGAGCCGGAGCCCCGGUAAACCCGCAGCUCCGAAUCACGCCCUACUGGGCCCCAUUUCUGGUGGUCUGAUGGCACGGGUAACAUAUCUGAUGUAUCCAGGGAACCUAGAAACUACGUCAACCUUCUACCUUCUUAGUGAAAUAUCUGUACAUAGACUAGUCAGAGAGUACAUUCUCUAUUCUAUCUUUCGUGAUCUAUACCAUGUAGAAACCAUCCCGAAGUCACACUGAUUUAUACUGUCACUGUCAAACAAUAGUCAAACAAUCACACCAACACCUUUUUACCAAACAAAAUGGAAAAUAAUAUAAAUAAACAAAAUGUAACCAAACCACAAUAAUGGAGAAAUCAGUCAACAAUGUGUACAUGUGAAAUAUGGGAACGCAGAAAAUGUGUCUCCCGGACGUAGCAUGGGAAUUCUCCGCAUGCUCGUCAUAUCUUACAUGCUCAUAUACAUCACGAUCUACUUUGGACUGAUCAUAGUACUAGUGUACCUGAGAAACCACUUCAUACUACUCAGCAAUCCACCAGACGAGCAGUACCUAUAACAUGAGUAAAACUCGCAACUAUUUCAAAGAUUUUAUUAAAAAUAUUACAAUAAAAGGCACUGUAAUGGACGGUACUUUCACAUCAACAUUCAAUUCACGUGGAAUGAUAAACACUGGAAUAUGGAAAGAAAAUAAAAUGAAAUGGACACACAAUCUCCAUUCUUACUUUGCAUUACCAAUGUAUGCAAUAUGCAUACUCUUUUGUGGAGUUAUGUGCAAAACAUUAUAAUGUAAGAAUGAGAUGAAUAAUCACAGUACAUUUAAAUAUUACAUUGCAUAAUACGAUCCAUAGCAUCUAGUGCUGUUUCCCAAUGUUUGUUAAGUUUCCUUUAAGUCUAACAGAAGGAAACUAUCGCUUAGUUUCCAUACGAAAUGUGUGUAACAUAUUUGUCAGUUAAGUUAAAAACAACUUAAUCAGACAUUGUGAAACAGUCCCAUAAAAAUUGUUAUUUUAUCAUUUGAUUGAUAUUACAAAUAAGAGUUUGAAUUCAAUUUAAAAUAUAAUGUAAAUAUCAGUCAUACAUCAAUUAUACAUGGUAAUGUAAGAUAUCAUAUUAGACAAUAAUACAAUUAAACAAAAAAGCAAUUCUGACAUAUUGACAUGUACAAAUGUUUAAUAAAAUAAAGUAACUUGUGCAAUGAA